UAGCCGUAAACGAUACUCGCUAGGUGUCGGCCACGGUGCGACCGUUGUCGGUGCCGUAGGGAAGCCGUGAAGCGAGCCACCUGGGAAGUACGGCCGCAAGGCUGAAACUUAAAGGAAUUGGCGGGGGAGCACCACAACGGGUGGAGCUUGCGGUUUAAUUGGAUUCAACGCCGGAAAUCUUACCGAGACCGACAGCAACAUGAAGGCCAGGCUGAAGACUUUGCCGGAUUAGCUGAGAGGUGGUGCAUGGCGUAGUCGUGU
rnacentral:rRNA from 1 species